CGUAACGGCGUUAAAACAAAAGAAUGAACACUGUCAUUCCUAAUUAAAGUGAUAAAAGCAGCAACAAGCGGACCGGCCAUGUUGGAGAAAAUUCAAUGAUUCCAAGGAAAAACUAGAGGACAACAACAGCUAAACCCAGGGCUUUACCACCAAAGGCUGGAAGACUCCCACUGGAAAUCAGGUGAUCAAGGUACUAACAAAAAUCGCCUGCCAGCCCCAUCUGACCAAUAAGCAUCAGACAUUAGACGCUUGUAAGUUCACCUAAAGUAAGGCUAUCUUCAAAGGAUCCAGACCGCCUCUUCACCCACAAAUGCCAUAAUCUCCUGUCUCGCAUCGAAAAAGGAUAACUAAGGCAAAAACGGUUUGUGGGUGCUUCGUGUGAAAUCUAAACUAAUGGAAAGGAAUAUCUCACGCAGACCCUGACCGAAGAGAUGACUGUGGACACUAGCCGGGGUCUGGGACCGGUGACUAGGGUCACCCACAACCCCCUCAGUCGCACCUAGGCCUUUACCACGCCCGAAAGGACGGCAUCUUCAAAGUACUAGCUUGGAACAAAGAUCCCUAUGGAGACUUCCUACCUGCCUAGAGAGAGCUCUAUCUAUUGGGGAAGGGUAAAUACCAUAUAAUACUGUGGAUGGUAUAACAAAAAAAAAAUAAGUAUCCUAGAUGAAAAAAAAAAUGCCUUCCUUUUCAAAAACUAAUUUCUUUUUUUUCUCUUUUUAUUUUUAGAUAAUCUGUACGUCCGUCCGUCCGAAUGUUUAGUGUUAAGUAUAACGAGUUAAGGGUCUAUGUAAGCCGUCACCUGGAGCACUGCGGUCUGCGAGCGCUUUUGAAGGAGGUCCCACGCUGGUGCAGAGGAGAUGAGCCGUUGGCGAGCAGCGUUUUUUUUUAUUUACUUUUAAUUCAAAAUUUUAGUUUAAGCUUUAGUUAUUUAUUCAGUCUUUUUUUUCCUUUUUUUUGUUAAGUUUAUAA